rnacentral:rRNA from 1 species
UACGUAGGAGGCAAGCGUUGUCCGGAAUUACUGGGCGUAAAGCGCGUGUAGGUGGUGGGACAAGUCUGCUGUGAAAGCGCCUGGCUUAACCGGGCGAGGUCGGCGGAAACUGUCCGACUAGAGGACGGUAGAGGGGAGUGGAAUUCCCGGUGUAGUGGUGAAAUGCGUAGAGAUCGGGAGGAACACCUGUGGCGAAGGCGGCCCCCUGGGCCGGCACUGACGCUGAGACGCGAAGGCGUGGGGAGCGAACGGG